rnacentral:lncRNA from 12 species
UCCAGCUCUUCCUUGCCAGGCAAGACACCCAAGGAAAUGAGGGAUAAUUCCCCUAAUUAACAAUAUAAUCAAUCCCUAUGAAAGAAGGAAUUUCAGAAGAACAAAUCCAUCUCCAGGAUGAUCCGAAGAACCAGGAAUGGCUCUUCUGGGAAAGCAGAGCAGCCCCAGGACACAGCAAGGAUGGGGAGAGGGGGCCCUGAGCUGAGCUCCAGCUGCCCCUCCCCUUUUGGGGAGGACAAUUUCGGGAACAAUUCCCGGGAACAAAAGCUGGAAGGACACUUGAUUUGAGCCAUGUGUGGGCAGGGAACGCUCCAGAGCCGGGUGACAGAAAUUCCAGCCCGUCCAAGCCCGGGAACAUCAGGGCAGGGAUGAAUCAUCAUCUCCACUCUGCCUGUAAACAACCUCCAUCCCAAAUCCAGCCCAGAGGUUCGGAAUGUGCAAAAUCCGGGGGAAAAGUGUCGAAAUCAGGGGGCAAGAAACCACAGGAAUGGGAGGAUGGGGAUGGGGAGCAGCAGGAAUGACCUGGGGGGGAGCUGCUGAGGGUCCCUGCACGUCUGGGGACACCACACAGGAGGGGGGACAGGACAGGACACUCUGGGGGAGCAGAUGUGGGUUGGGGACAGGACAGGACACUCUGGGGGAGCAGAUGUGGGGUUGGGGACAGGGACAGGAUGGGAUGUGGGGGUUGGGGACAGGACAGAGCUCAGGGGAUCAGCACCACAAGCUUCAGAACAGAGGAAAAACCAGCUCAGUUCGUCCUAAUCCUCUUUUUGCAGCAAUGCUGCUUUUGCAAGGAGCACUGAGGAAAGGAGAAAAUUCCCAUUUCCCGCUGCCACCAGGAAAGGCAAGGGCAAGGAAGGGGAAGGAAGGAGACAACCCCUGAGAAGCCCAAAACAAACGGGGGGCUGUCUGUAAAUACAGCUUCCUCUCCAAACACCCCAAAAACCAGCACACAGCCCCCAGCUCCAAACAGGACAAAUCCUGAAGAAAAGUCCUGCAGGAAGGAGCAGCUGG